UACGUAGGGGGCUAGCGUUGUCCGGAAUCAUUGGGCGUAAAGAGCGUGUAGGCGGCCCGGUAAGUCCGCUGUAAAAGUCAAAGGCUCAACCUUUGAAUGUCAGUGGAUACUGCCGGGCUAGAGUCCGGAAGGGGCGAGUGGAAUUCCUGGUGUAGCGGUGAAAUGCGCAGAUAUCAGGAGGAACACCAAUGGCGAAGGCAGCUCGCUGGGACGUGACUGACGCUGAGACGCGAAAGCGUGGGGAGCAAACAGG
rnacentral:rRNA from 1 species